AUUGAACGCUGGCGGCAGGCCUAACACAUGCAAGUCGAGCGGUAGAGAGAAGCUUGCUUCUCUUGAGAGCGGCGGACGGGCGAGUAAUGCCUAGGAAUCUGCCUAGUGGUGGGGGAUAACGUUCGGAAACGGACGCUAAUACCGCAUACGUCCUACGGGAGAAAGCGGGGGAUCUUCGGACCUCGCGCCAUUAGAUGAGCCUAGGUCGGAUGAGCUAGUUGGUGAGGUAAUGGAUCACCAAGGCGACGAUCCGUAACUGGUCUGAGAGGAUGAUCAGUCACACUGGAACUGAGACACGGUCCAGACUCCUACGGGAGGCAGCAGUGGGGAAUAUUGGACAAUGGGCGAAAGCCUGAUCCAGCCAUGCCGCGUGUGUGAAGAAGGUCUUCGGAUUGUAAAGCACUUUAAGUUGGGAGGAAGGGUAGUAACCUAAUACGUUGCUACUUUGACGUUACCGACAGAAUAAGCACCGGCUAACUUCGUGCCAGCCGCCGCGGUAACAC
rnacentral:rRNA from 1 species